CGAGUUUGAUCCUGGCUCAGAGCGAACGUUGGCGGCGUGGUUUAGGCAUGCAAGUCGAACGAGGCUGAUUUCUUCGGAUUGAAAGCCUAGUGGCGAAAGGGUGAGGAAUACAUCGAUCAUCUACCCUCGGGUCUGGGACAACGGCUGGAAACGGCUGCUAAUACCGGAUCGUCCAGUAAUGGUAAAGGUGGGGACCUUCGGGCCUGCCGCCUGAGGAGGAGUCGAUGGCCUAUCAGCUUGUUGGUGGGGUAAUGGCCCACCAAGGCGAAGACGGGUAGCCGGACUGAGAGGUUGGCCGGCCACACUGGGACUGAGACACUGCCCAGACUCCUACGGGAGGCUGCAGUCGAGAAUCUUCCGCAAUGGACGAAAGCCUGACGGAGCGACGCCGCGUGGAGGAAGAAGGCCCUCGGGUUGUAAACUCCUGUCACACGUUAAGAAAUAGCCUCGGUUAAUACCCGGGGUGUUGACGUAAGCGUGAGAGGAAGUCACGGCUAACUUCGUGCCAGCAGCCGCGGUAAGACGAAGGUGGCAAACGUUGCUCGGAAUUACUGGGCAUAAAGCGCGCGUAGGUGGCUUGGUAAGCGGAGAAUGAAAUCCCAUGGCUCACCCAUGGAACUGUUCUCCGAACUGCUUUGCUUGAGGGCGGGAGGGGGAAGUGGAAUUCCUGGUGUAGCGGUGAAAUGCGUAGAUAUCAGGAGGAACGCCGGUGCGAAAGCGACUUCCUGGCCCGAUCCUGACACUGAGGCGCGAAAGCUAGGGGAGCAAACAGGAUUAGAUACCCCUGUAGUCCUAGCUGUAAACGAUGGGCACUGGGUAGAGGGGGCGUCGAUACCUUCUCUGCCGUAGCUAAUGUGUUAAGUGCCCCGCCUGGGGAGUACGGUCGCAAGGCUAAAACUCAAAGGAAUUGACGGGGGCUCACACAAGCGGUGGAGCAUGUGGUUUAAUUCGAAUCAACGCGAAGAACCUUACCCGGGUUUGAAUUCUGCGGAUGCAGCCUGUGAAAGCAGGUGCGCUGCCUUUCGGGGUGAAACGUGGACAGGUGUUGCAUGGCUGUCGUCAGCUCGUGUCGUGAGAUGUCGGGUUAAGUCCCUCAACGAGCGAAACCCUUAUCUUUAGUUGCCAGCGGUUCGGCCGGGGACUCUAGAGAGACUGCCGUUGUGAAAACGGAGGAAGGUGGGGACGACGUCAAGUCAUCAUGGCCUUUAUGUCCGGGGCUACACACGUGCUACAAUGGCCGGCACAAAGGGAAGCAAAACUGCAAAGUCGAGCAAACCUCACAAAGCCGGCCCCAGUUCGGAUUGGAGGCUGCAACUCGCCUCCAUGAAGGUGGAAUCGCUAGUAAUCGUGGAUCAGCUACGCCACGGUGAAUAUGUUCCUGGGCCUUGUACACACCGCCCGUCAAGCCACGAAAGCCGGCAGUGCCCGAAGUCGCGUACCCAACCGCAAGGAGGGGAGUGCCUACGGUAAGGCCGGUGAUUGGGACUAAGUCGUAACAAGGUA
rnacentral:rRNA from 1 species